GAUGAAUGCUGGCGGCGUGCUUAACACAUGCAAGUCGAACGAAGCAUUUAGGACAGAUUACUUCGGUUUGAAGUUCUUUAUGACUGAGUGGCGGACGGGUGAGUAACGCGUGGGUAACCUGCCUUGUACUGGGGGAUAGCAGCUGGAAACGGCUGGUAAUACCGCAUAAGCGCACAAUGUUGCAUGACAUGGUGUGAAAAACUCCGGUGGUAUAAGAUGGACCCGCGUCUGAUUAGCUAGUUGGUGAGAUAACAGCCCACCAAGGCGACGAUCAGUAGCCGACCUGAGAGGGUGACCGGCCACAUUGGGACUGAGACACGGCCCAGACUCCUACGGGAGGCAGCAGUGGGGAAUAUUGCACAAUGGAGGAAACUCUGAUGCAGCGACGCCGCGUGAGUGAAGAAGUAAUUCGUUAUGUAAAGCUCUAUCAGCAGGGAAGAUAGUGACGGUACCUGACUAAGAAGCUCCGGCUAAAUACGUG
rnacentral:rRNA from 1 species